rnacentral:rRNA from 1 species
CUACGGGAGGCUCCAGUGAGGAAUAUUGCACAAUGGGGGAAACCCUGAUGCAGCAACGCCGCGUGGAGGAUGACGCAUUUCGGUGUGUAAACUCCUUUUAUGAGUCAAGAAAAUGACGGUAGCUCAUGAAUAAGCACCGGCUAACUCCGUGCCAGCAGCCGCGGUAAUACGGAGGGUGCAAGCGUUACUCGGAAUCACUGGGCGUAAAGGACGCGUAGGCGGGCUUGUAAGUCAGGUGUGAAAUCCUACAGCUUAACUGUAGAACUGCACUUGAAACUACGAGCCUAGAGUAUGGGAGGGGCAGAUGGAAUUAGUGGUGUAGGGGUAAAAUCCGUAGAUAUCACUAGGAAUACCUAAAGCGAAGGCGAUCUCCUGGAACAUUACUGACGCUAAGGCGUGAAAGCGUGGGGAGCAAACAGGAUUAGAUACCCCCGUAGUC